AACAUAGAGUACACAUUUUCUGUUUUGUUUAAGAAUUAUUCUCUUGCAGACCUAUGUUUUUUGUUUUUGUUUUUCUAUCCUUGGCAGAGUUUUUUAACAUGGAUUUUUUACUUCACUUUUAAUAUUUUAUUUACAUUUUAUAUUUGAGUAAAUUCAUUAACUAUAUCUAAGUCAAAAUGCUUAAUGGUAUAUAGGAUUCCACUAUAUGUGAUAUACUUUUAAAAUCAAUUUCCUAUGGUUGAAUAGUUUAUUUCCAAUGUUUCAAUAUUAACAACUCUUCAAGGAACAUCCUAGGAAAAAAUAUCUUCAUAUACUUGUCUGAUUAUUUCUUUAAGAUUCAUAAAAGUGGGCCCAGGGUAUGUUCACGGGGCGAUGCUGCCCUCCCAGCUGGCCCAUGGGUGACCCUGGGAACAUUAACUGCCUCACAACGUUUGUGCCUCAGUUACCCGUAGAUGUAGUGAGGGUAACAAUACUUACUCUCGUUGGUGAUAAGGAACAGCUAACACAACACACAGGGUUUUUCUGCUCCCAAAAUGGGAUUCUUCAGUGCACCAAAUCGAAGAAAGCACUGGAGCUCACGCUGGUUUCUCCAUUGUUUCUCCUUAACAGUGGAAACUGUAACUUUUGUUCUAGUAGCAUCUAGCAUGCUCAAUAAUUAUUUGUAAAUAAAAGUUAUACUUUCCCUCCAAAAAAAAAAAAAA
rnacentral:lncRNA from 10 species